ACACGUGGGUAACCUGCCUUAUAGUGGGGGAUAGCCUUUCGAAAGGAAGAUUAAUACCGCAUAAGAUUGUAGUAUCGCAUGAUAUAGCAAUUAAAGGAGCAAUUCGCUAUAAGAUGGACCCGCGUCGCAUUAGCUAGUAGGUGGGGUAACGGCUCACCUAGGUGACGAUCCCUAGCUGGUCUGAGAGGAUGACCAGCCACACUGGAACUGAGACACGGUCCAGACUCCUACGGGAGGCAGCAUG
rnacentral:rRNA from 1 species